rnacentral:rRNA from 1 species
AUUGAACGCUAGCGGCAUGCUUUACACAUGCAAGUCGAACGAGUGGCGGACGGGUGAGUAAUAUAUCGGAAAGUGCCUAGUAGAGGGGGAUAACUACUCGAAAGAGUGGCUAAUACCGCAUACCAGUGGAUCGGCCGAUAUCGGAUUAGCUAGUUGGUGUGGUAAAGGCUCACCAAGGCAACGAACCGGAGCUGGUGUGAGAGGAUGACCAGCCACACUGGGACUGAGACACGGUCCAGACUCCUACGGGAGGCAGCAGUGGGGAAUUUUGGACAAUGGGGGAAACCCUGAUCCAGCCAUCCCGCGUGUAUGAGAAGGCCUUCGGGUUGUAAAGUACUUUUGGCAGAGAAGCGGUAUCUGCAGAAUAAGCACCGGCUAACUACGUGCCAGCAGCCGCGGUAAUUC